rnacentral:tRNA from 1 species
GUGGGUAUAGCUCAGUGGUAGAGCGCAUGCUUAGCAUGUACAAGGUCCUGGGUUCAAUCCCUGGUACUCCA